rnacentral:rRNA from 1 species
UACGUAGGGGGCAAGCGUUGUCCGGAUUUACUGGGCGUAAAGAGCGUGUAGGCGGCCAAACAGGUCCGUUGUGAAAACUGGAGGCUCAACCUCCAGACGUCGACGGAAACCGUAUGGCUAGAGUCCGGAAGAGGAGAGUGGAAUUCCGAGUGUAGAGGUGAAAUUCGUAGAUAUUCGGAGGAACACCAGUGGCGAAGGCGGCUCACUGGUCCGGUACUGACGCUGAGGUGCGAAAGCGUGGGGAGCAAACAGG